UGGGCUUCCCUUCUUCAGGUGGUGUCCCUUUAUGAGAGUGAGUAAUGAGGAUAAUUAAUGUCAGAGUAUUUAAAUGUCUGGGCAGGAAGCAUUAGAACGUAGCCUCUGUCGUACCCGCCCCUCUUCCGGUCUUCAGUGUCACAGUAGUUGAAAUGUUGUUGCAGCCGUGCCUGUUAAGUCCUCGGUGAGCUUCGUCAAGCGCUCGUUGGAAGUUUUAGUGAAACAAUAUUUAUGAAGACAUCCUAACAUCCUAUGCUUGUGUAGCUGCGGAUCGGAUCUU